rnacentral:misc_RNA from 1 species
UUUUUAUUUUUUAUUUUUUUAAAAUGCAUUAAUUGAGUGGCCUCAAUCUAAAUCUAAAUCAAACUGGAAUCAUAUCAGAAUCGCCAGAAACCAGAUAGGGGCCAAAUCAGCCUCCGUGGUCCAGUUCACAUUCGUUCCCUCCAGAGACCGAAACUGCUGGUUGCAACCGAAACCAGACUGAAAACAGCUUAUCGUCAGGACUAUGUUGAUGUCCCUUUUCCAUUUUCGCUAAUAAGACCAAAAUUGCCAAAUUACAAUAAUGUUUCAACAGAGUUCAGUGUAUUACAGAUGCAUAAACCAUUCUACUCGAUUGAAUAGAACAAGUACUGUGCACAACAGAAACUAUAACAGGCUAUAGUUAGAAAACAAC